UUUAUUACUAUAUAACUUUUUUUUUAAUUCUAGUUUAUUUUAUAUAACAUAGCGUAUCCAAACAUCCGUGUGUAAACUUAGAUCCAUAUCCCUGUAUUUUCUAUUUAGAAAGUUGACAAGUGAGACAUAGUGAUAUACACCUAUUUUGGACACCUGUAUCCGAGUCCAAGUAACAUAGAAUUUAGUUCCUUUAAUGGUUAGGUCCUUUGGUGCUUAUCUUGUCAAUAUUAAGUAUUUAAUCUAUAGUUGCUAUAUGUGUAGGAAUUGCAAUAGAAACUAGGUGGAUAUGGUGUUUUAUGUUGUGAUGUUUUUUAGUCUGAUUACCAGGUGUUAUCACACAAGUCACAAGUGCCUUGAUUAUUGACAAAAUAACAAUUCUUAAAUAAGCAGAAUAUGGGAGCCUGAAAUCUUUUCUUUUUAAUAUCCAUCACUAGUAGCUAAUGGUUUUGUUGGCCAUGUGAUAUAUGAAUGGUUUUAGUUUUGACUUUCUGAUGCAGGAGCAGAAAAAUUUAGAAUAAUUUCUCGUCAUAUUACUUUUUCUUCCCAUUCUUCACUUUCCUUUUGCAUGUUGUAUAGGGAUCAUAUCUUUACAUCUAUCCAUAAUGGUUUUUAUUCCAUUGAGAAAAAGUCAUGGAUUUAUGUUCUCUGUUUACCAGUCCAAAUCCGCUGAACAUGUCCAACAUGUGCUUAAAGGAUGAUUGACACCUCAAUGUGUGUUACAAUUUCUUAUGUCUGGAUAGAAAGUGACCUUUAUCCUCUUGGAAGGUUCCUUUAUUCACUUACAAGCUUUAUUUAUUUAUUUAUUUAUUUCGUAGUCCGACUUAUCAUUUUACCAUGCCAUACCAUACCCGUGUCGACACGACCCUUCAUGGGAUUUGACAUAGAAUAUGUGUCCAACACAUAUUCGUGCACUCGGACACUUGAGUGAUAUAUUUAUGCAUAGUUAAUAGAGCAUUCUUGUACAUGCACUUGAGUGACAUAUUUAUGCAUAGUUAAUAGAGCAUUUUUUUUCUCUCAAGAUGAAGAGCAUGUAUUUAGAAAAAAUUAGGUAUUUAGUUGUAUUUUGAAUGAUUUUUUUGGUUGUAAUUGAUCAUCCAUUUACACUAUAAUUAUUAGUUUGUUACUAUAUAACUUUUUAUUUUUUUAUUCUAGUUUAUUUUAUAUAACAUAACGUAUUCAAGCAUCCAUGACUAAACUUAUAUCCAUAUCUCCGUAUUUUCUAUUUAGAAAGUUGACAAGUUAGACAUAGUGAUAUACACUCAUUUUGGACACUCGUAUCUGUGUCCAAGUAACUUAGAUUUAUUUAUUUUGGUUCGGUAAUUUAUGUGAAUAUUAUUUGGACUUGAUCCUCAAUGUUUUGGUUGUUGUUUGACAUGCCCGAAGAGAUGAGGGUGCUAGUAAUGAUAACCAUCCUUAGCGUCUAUGAAUAUAUCAUACUUGUUUGCAAUUCAAUAAAUCAUCACAGAUGUGAGAGAUAUAUAUGGUUUAGUGUUUGGAGAACUUGCAGAAUUGCUGGAUUUUCUUUUCUUUUUACGGGAGAAGUGUCUUGGUGUUGGAUCAAGGCCCUUGCCCAAACUACCAUUGUUGGUGUACAAAGUUGACUAAUCCUAAUGGAUGAAUUGUCGGAUGUAUGAGGCAUGGUCUACCAUGUCUUUGUAUGAGAAACUUUGAAAUGGGGUGAAAUUGUCUGUUGAUAGUAUGAAAGGUUUUGUCGCCUGGAUAGUCCCUUAUGUUAAGUUGUUCUUCUACCUUUUGGGUCUCCAGAUAUCUUUUCCUUGAAAAUUGGUUUUCUAGCUGAGUCAUUAUUUUCCUUAGGUUUCUUUUGUUAUUUAUAUUAGUCAAGGAAGAAGGACAUUGAGGUCUAUUAGGUGAAUGCCUAUCAUGAAAUCUUCCCUUGGUCCUUGUUGGAACUGAACAACAGUCGCCAGCGUAUUCAAGCUUUUGUGCAUAAUACUAAAGGCUAUUUGUGUUUGUUGGAUGAAAUUUUUGAAGGAUUUGUUCCUAAUAGUCAAUGGAAUGAAUACUGAGGUUUGUUAGGUGAAUGUUUACCAUAAAAAUUCUCUUGCUGAUGUAAAGCACUAUUUUUUCAAGCUAUUAGUAAUGUGCGAGGAUAUUCAUAUGCAAAAAAAUGCUUUAUUUUUAACCUUUUAAAGGAAAGAGAAAGGACAAUUCUAAUGGUUUUAGAUUUUCUUGGUGAUUAGGUGCUUUGAAGUAUAAUUAAAAGGAUGCAUUUCUUGAAUUCAAACAUCUUCUUCUGUGCAAACUCCCAACUUAUUUUUCCUCUCCAUUUAGAUGUUUAUUACUGUCAAAUCCACAUCUGCUGAUAUUAUUAUCUUCCUAUCUAUUUAUACCUUUCCCGUGGUUCCUUGUACUGUCUCCACUCUCCUAAUGCUUGGCUUUCUGGGACACAAAUGUGACCAAAUAGAUGAGAUUCUGUUUGGUGACGAGCCUGUUAUAGUUCUUGUUGUGAUACUGUUGGCUUUACCAUCUGUCUAUGAUGAAGAUUUGGAUUCAUCUAGCUUGUGAUAAUCACAGUCACAGGUAUUCAUGGAGUUUUCUUUGUUAUGGAGCAUUAUUUUCUUUUCUUUUUUUUGGGCCAAGUUGAAUACGCAUAAUCUUUUUAUUUUUUUAUCCUUGUUAGCUGGUAACACUGGGUAAAAUGGAAUAAUUUUCUUAUAGAAUGAUAAAAUACUGGAGCUAAUAUAUUAAGAUAUGAUGAGGAUCUAUGAUGUCAAUUGGUUUGAUCAAGUUAGAUGUCUAAAACUAAUAAAAAAACUAUUUAAUUCUUCUAUUGAUAUUUUGGUCUUUUGUGAAUCCAUAGUGUUUGAACUGCUGUCCCAUCUAGGUACAAGAAAAGUGUGUCCAUGGAUUCUUUUUACCUUUUUUUUUGUGUUUUCAUUUUUGCAUUUGUUGGUAUUAAUUCUACAUCUUUCUUUUGCUCGCACUGCCAGUAGAACUUACAUCCUACAUGAUAGAUGUAACGGGAAGCUUGUUUGGGUUUUGGAAUUAAGAAAAAGAAGAAACUAGAUUGAAGGGAAGAAGAGAUUUGAGAGGCAAAAGAGAGAAGAGAGAAAGAGAAUUUUCAGAGGAAUAGGUAAUUUCUGUAUUGAAUUCUUGAAUGAAUCAUGUAAUACAUUUUCUCUCUUAUUUAUACAAUCUACAACUGAUUUCCCUCCUGUUCUAACUGUUUUCUCUCCAAUUCCCACAAAUAGCUGCUCACACUACUUCCCGCCAACUUGUUUAGUCAAUAUCCUCUCCAAUAACCUUCUUUCCCUCUUUUUUUAAAUCUUUUCCUCCUAUAUGUAACAAUUCAUCCUCCAUUAGAACCUUCUUGCCCCCAAGAAGUUUGAAAAUCUGGAAACUGAGAUUGAAGGAAACUCUGAUCUUCCCAUGUGGCAUCUUUCUCUGUAAGAUUAGUUCAUUUGAUGAGUCCUUGCAACACAGGCAUGUCCCCCCUAAUUACAGUUCUUGUUUUCAACAAAGAUUUAGGUGCUACUAUCCAGGUAGAGUCUUCCUCAGUCACAGGUAGUUCCUGGAUUGGUGUAAUGUUGUCUUCAAAUUUCUUCUUCAGUAAUGAAACAUGAAAUACUGGAUGUACUGAAGAAGAAGCAGGAAGUUCCAGCUUGUAGGCUACUGUCCCCACCUUUGCUACCACCUUGUAAGGCCCAUAAUAUUUAGCAGAAAAUUUAAGAGACUUUCGGACUGCUACUGAAGUCUGUCUAUAGGGUUGUAAUUUGUGAUAUACCCAAUCCCCUACCUCAAAUGAUCUCUCAAUUCUCUUCUUGUUACACUGAUGCUUCAUUUUGUUCUGAGCUUGACUGAGAGUUUCCCAUAAUAGAGCAUUAACAUUCUGCCUGGUGGUGAAUUUAUUAGCCACAGACCCUACAGAAAUAUCUGAGAGGGGAAGUAUAGGCAAUUGAGAUGGAUUAAAUCCAUACAAUGCUUUGAAAGGUGUCAUCUUAAUAGCACUAUGAUAAGCACUAUUAUAUCAAAACUCAGCCAGAGACAACCAUUUACACCAGUUAGUAGGCUUCAAAUAUGCAAAACACCUCAAAUGCCCUUCAAUACAUUGAUUAAGCCUUUCCGCCUGCCCAUCUGACUGAGGAUGAUAAGCAGAGCUGUAACACAAUUUGACUCCCUGAGAGCUUAAAAAACUCCUUCCAAAACAAGCUUAUGAACAAUUUGUCUAGAUCAGAGACUAUUGUUUAAGGGGCUCAUGCAAUUUAAAAAUAGAGUCCAUGAAAAGUUUAGCAACAGUUGCAGUUGAACAAGGGUGAGAGCGCCAAGAAGUGAUCAUGUUUUGUAAAUCUCUGCAAAUGACUACUAGUAUAGUAUCUUUACCAGCAGACUUUGGUAGUUGUUCAAUAAAGUCCAUUGAGAUGUGCUUCCAAGGCUGGUCCAGAAUAGGGAGAGGUUGCAAUAAUCCUGGCAAACCACAAGUUUCUCUCAUGCACCUUGUACACACUUCACAUUUUUGGACCCAGCUCAUGACAUCACUUAACAUUCUUGGCCAGUAGAAAUGUUUCUAGAGUCUGAGGUAAGUGGGCUCAACUCCAGAAUGCCCUCCAAUAGCUGAGUCAUGGUAUGGCUGCAAUAAAUUUGCCCUGAGAGCAGUACAAUUGCCCACAUACUUCCUGUCCUUGUAUAACAGUACUCCAUUUCUUAUAGAAUAUUCUGAGUGAAAAUCAGGACUAAUAGCUAUCUGAGUGAACAGUUCAGUAGCCUUAGUGUCGCCUUCAUAACUAGCAGUCACAGCUUCCAUCCAAACUGGUUUGCUCACAGAUACAGCAGCAGCUACAGAGGCUUGCAUACCAGGUCUUCUAGACAAGGCACCUGCCACUUUGUUUUCUACCCUUUUUCUGUAGAGAAUCUUAUAGUUCAAGCCUAACAAUCUGGCAAUCCCUUUCUGCUGUAAGUUUGUGUAACCUUUGCUGUAGCAAGUAUUUUAUACUCAUGAUCAAUUUUGAUGAUGAAAGUGCCUUGCUCAAGGUAAUGUCUCCAUUUAGAGACAGCAAAGGUAAUAGCCAAGAGCUCCUUCUCAUAAAGAGAAAAAGCUUGGUUGCGAGGCCCAAAAGCUUUAGAAAUAUAUGCAAUGGGGUGUCCAUCUUGUUGCAAUACUGCUUCCAUGCCUUGACUGCUUGCAUCAGUCUCUAUGUCCUCAACUUUUCAAAAGCCUUUUGUGCAGCAUCACCCAUCCAACCCUUGUAAGCAAAUCCGUUAAUGGCUUGCUAAUUAAACCAUAAUGAUACACAAAUUUCCAAUAAUAACCACAUGAACCCAUAAAAUUUCUUAGCUCUUUAACUGAAGGAGUAGGCCACUCAACCAUGGCUUGGACUUUCUUUGAAUCAGUUGCCACCCCCUUACAAGAAAUUAUGUGACCAAGAUAUUCCACUUCCAAAACCCCAAAAUAACACUUAGACAUUUUUACAAAUAAGUGCUACUGCUGCAAGCCUUGAAACACAACUUCUAAGUAUUGUAAAUGAGCCUCCAUGUUAGGACUAUAAACCUAUAUCAUCAAAGAAAACAAGGACAAAAUGUCUGAGAAAGGGCUGGCAUAUAUGUGUUCAUAAGGGCUUGGAAGGUUGUUGGGGCAUUUGUUAGUCUAAAGGGCAUUACAGUAAAUUCAUAAUGCCCAUAGUGAGUCCUAAAUGUGGUCUUAGGUAUGUCUGGUGGUUCCAUUCUAAUCUGAUGGUACUUGGCCCUGAGAUCAAGUUUGGAAAAAAUUGUAGCACCGUGGAGCUCAUCAAGUAGAUCAUCAAUCACUCCUUAAUGGUUUGGUAAUUAAGCUUGCUAUAAUCAACAAAAAACCUCAAACUACCAUCUUUUUUCUUAACAAGUAGGACAGGAGAUGAGUAUGGGCUGUUACUUGGCUGGAUUACUUUAUUGGACAACAUCUCAGUUGGAAGCUUCUCAAUUUCAGCUUUUUGAAAAUGGGGGUAUUUGUAAGGUCUUACAUUAAUUGAUUUGAUCGAGGCUGGUAAUGGAAUGGAAUGGUUGUGGGUUCUAAAGAGUGGUAGUGUUUUAGGUUCCUCAAAAGAUAUAGCUAUACUUGAACAUGAUCCCUGUUUGGACUAGCUGAGAUGACCCUUCUUUCCCUUCAUAUUGAUACAGGAGAGGUGUUUGGAAAUUACCACCUUGUUUCUACAUAAGUUUUUGGAAGCUAUCACAAGCUUGCAAGCUAGGUUUAACACUGUCAGUCAAUCCUUGCAAGAUUAAUAUUCUACCAUCCUUACUGAAUAUAACCCUGGAGGACUCGAAAUCAAACAUCACAGAGUUAAAACCCUUCAUCCAAUCUACUCCCAGUAUCAUGUGGAAGGUUCCCAACUCCAACACCUUCAAAUCAAAUGAAAAUUCAUGCUGCUGUAUUUUCCAAGAAAAUCCCUCACAAAUACUAUUACAAGCAACCUUUCUCCCAUCAGCUACUGUCACCGAAAUCGCUGUGGCCGGAGUUGAUGACAGCUUCAAUUUCCUUGCCACUGUCAUAUCGAGGAAGCUAUGUGUACCAUCACUAUCGAUUGAAAUUAUCAGCUCCCUAUUUUUAUAUUUCCCCAUCAUCCUUAUUGUUUCAUCCCCCUGACUUCCCUCUAAGGCAUGGAUUGAGAGAGUCAUAUUUUCCAUAUCCUCUGUAAUUUCAGUGCUGCUAUGAUCCUCCCCAACUAUAUCCUUUGUCCCUCCAUUCUCCUCUCCAUCAUCAUCCCAAACUUCACUCCCCUGUAUUGCCAUCAAAUUCUUAGGCUUACAAUGAUGCUCAGGAAAACAUUUAUCCCCAUAUUUAAAACAGGGUUUGGGUGGUCUAGAGAUAGGGUUAACAAGCUGUGAUUGUGUUUUGGGAUUACUUUGGUUUACAGAACUUCGGCUGAGAGCUUUGAGAAUUGGUCUUUUGGGCUGUUUGAGAAGCUUUGGUAUCUGGGCCUACAAUUUUGGAAGAAAGAGCAGGGUUGGAGUAUGAAAGAUAAGGUUUUGGGAAAUAUGAGGUAGUAUUAGGAUAAGUGGAAUUUCUAUAUGCAUUAGUAAAUGUCUUCAGUAAAAUUUUGAGUUUUCUUGGGAUUUGACACCAACUGCUCUUGGAAUCUUGCUAUUUCAAAGGCAUGAGACAGGGUUGUGGGUCUAAUCAUUCUUAACAUGGGUCUAAUCUCAUCCUUCAGCCCUCCUAUGGGUCUAAUCAUUCUUAACAUGAAUCUAAUCUCAUCCUUCAGCCCUCCUAUGGGUCUAAUCAUUCUUAACAUGGAUCUAAUCUCAUCCUUCAGCCCUCCUAUGAACACAGAUAAGAAGUAUGCUUUCCUAAGGUGGGGCAUAACCCUUUCCAUAUGCACCCUUGUUCUUCAAAUUUAUCCUGGUACUCCUCUACUGACCCAUCCUGUCUUAUUUUUAUAAACUCCUCCAUUACGUCCUCUAACCUCGGUCCCCAAAUCUGCCAUAUAAUCCAUUUUCAAAAUCUUCCCAACUAUGCCCUACAUCAUCCCUGAACCAAUUUUGGUACCAGGUAUCAGCCCUAUCCAUCAAAAACAAGCUAGCAAUGCCCACCCUCUGAUCUCGAGGCACUUUAAACAUCUCAAAAUAUUUCUCACACUUUCUCGAUCAACUUUUAGGUUCUUUUCCUUCAAAAGCAAUUAAUUCUAUCGUAGGCAAGACAGAUUCAAGAUUGGAAACAUUAUUUGCCAAGGGCAAUUCCUUAGGACUGGGCAGAAUUCCGGCACUUGCUCUACCCUCUGUUCUACUGGCGCCAGCACCACUGCUAGUGGAGUCUCUAUUAUUCCUUUCUGCUAGAUCGCAAGCCAUAAGAGCUCUAACUUAUACCAUGUCCGUCUUAUUGGAGGAUUUCAGAAUUCCCCCUUUUACUGCUUCUAACUCUUUUUCUAGCUUCGCGAUGCGGUGCAUUUGCACCAAAUGCAGUUGUUCCUCCAAUUCAUUAACCCUAACCAUAUCUUGGCUAACUAUCACCGAUCUGGUUAUUGAUUGCGACACCCGAUCCACUGGAUUUCCUUAAUUUCCUCACGGAACCUGGCUCUAAUACCAAAUUGUAAUGGGAAGCUUGUUUAGGUUUUGGAAUUAAGAAAAAGAAUAAAUUGGAUUGAAGGGAAUAAGAGAUUUGAGAGGGAGAAGAGAGAAAGAAGAAUUUGGAGAGAGAGAGAGAAAAGAAUUUUUAGAGAAAUAGGUAAUUUUUUGUAUUAAAUUCUUAAAUGAAUCAUGUGAUACAUUUUCUCUCUUAUUUAUACAAUCUAUAACUGUUUUCCCUCCUGUUCUAACUGUUUUCUCUCCAAUUCCCACAAAUAGCUGCUCACACUACUUCCCGCCAACUUGUUUAGUCAACAUCCUCUCCAAUAACCUUCUUUCCCUCUCUUUUUUUAAAUCUUUUCCUCCUAUAUGUAACAAUAGAAUAGCCAGGUUUAAGAAUAGAAAAGCAAGUGAUUUGUUGUCCCAUUAGCAAGAUACAGGCAGGCUAGAUCUAUAUUAAAAGACUUGUUUGUUCAACCAUGAGAUUUACUUGUUCCCUUUUUUUUUCUCACAUAGGAG
rnacentral:lncRNA from 1 species